rnacentral:rRNA from 2 species
GGAUAAAAGCUACCCCGGGGAUAACAGGCUUAUCUCCCCCAAGAGUUCACAUCGACGGGGAGGUUUGGCACCUCGAUGUCGGCUCAUCGCAUCCUGGGGCUGUAGUCGGUCCCAAGGGUUGGGCUGUUCGCCCAUUAAAGCGGUACGCGAGCUGGGUUCAGAACGUCGUGAGACAGUUCGGUCCCUAUCCGUCGUGGGCGUAGGAAAUUUGAGAGGAGCUGUCCUUAGUACGAGAGGACCGGGAUGGACAUACCUCUGGUGUACCAGUUGUCGUGCCAACGGCAUAGCUGGGUAGCUAUGUGUGGACGGGAUAAGUGCUGAAAGCAUCUAAGCAUGAAGCCCCCCUCAAGAUGAGAUUUCCCAACUUCGGUUAUAAGAUCCCUCAAAGAUGAUGAGGUUAAUAGGUUCGAGGUGGAAGCAUGGUGACAUGUGGAGCUGACGAAUACUAAUCGAUCGAAGACUUAAUCAA